UGUUGGUAGACUACAGCAGACGCCUACAGUCACCAAUCUUAUCAAAUUUGAUGUCUUCUUUUUCUGCUCUAACAAAUUUUUCUCAACAAUAGUCUCCAAGCAAAAUAUGUACGUAUAGGAAUUGAAGUUCAAGACGCCAACAGCUGAGUGUCAAAUUUGUCAAGAAAUUGCCACCAGAGGGAGCAAUGAAUGGCAACACACUAUCACUCAGGUUGUUCACGCUAAGUUGGUUAUGUGGUUAUAUCAGCAGCAACAGAAUGUAAAAUCGGAAAACAACCUAUCAUAGCAAACCCUUCCCCCUAUUAACAAAUUAUGUAG